ensembl:lncRNA
AGACCCAGUGUCCCCACGAGGUCCCAUUCUGGGGUGACGGGGACCUAGAACUCGCCCAGACCCCAGUCCGGUCCUCACAGAUGUCAGACCACUUUGCAGACUCAGGGCUUCCCUCUGGGGGACGCCCAGGUCCUCGGGGUCCUGGUCAGGACUUGCAGUGGACAUGCCGUGGGGACAGACACAUGUCCACUCCCGCACGUCUGCAGCGGGGGGUCGGGGAGGCGCGACGGGGUCUGGCCCAACCCCGGGGGACCCCCCGACCGGACCCUGGCCCGGGGCUGAGGUCUGUGGUCCUCCUCGGCAGUGAAGCCCGGCUCCCCCGAGGACGUGCACUUCCGGUGGCUGCAGGAGGACGUCCUGGUGACCUGCUCCGACCUGCCCUACGGGGGCCUCCUCUACGAGGUCCAGUACAGGAGCCGCUUCGACACCGAGUGGGAGUCCAGGGAAGCGACGACGUGCAACGUGACCGUCGGAGGGUUGGACACCCAGAAGUGCUACAGCUUCCGGACCCGGGUGAAAACCACCGAGGACCAGUACGGCCCCCACGCCACCCCCAGCGACUGGUCCCAGGUGACGCACUGGCAGAGGGCGGAGCUCAGAGACUCCUGCGAGGAGGAGCCCGGUCCUCGCCGCACGCGGUUCCCCAAGUUCAUCCUCAUCUCCAGCUCGGUCACCCUCCUGACCCUGUGUCUCCUGCUGCUGUCCUUAUGGAGACUGCAGAGAGUGAAGAAGCUGCUCGUGCCCAGCGUCCCGGACCCGAAGGGCAAGUUCCCCGGCCUCUUCGAGCAGCACCAAGGGAACUUCCAGGUGCCCUCACUGCCCACUGGACAGGGGUGCCCGGCCCUGCCCUCAAAACCUAGGAGAGGGAAAACAUCAUUUCUUCCACCCUCUUAAGUUCUGUGACUGGGGUCUGCUAAUUAAAAGGGCCAGGAACUGAUGAACUAGGAAAAAAAAAAUCCUUGUUUCUUUAUAUACAUGUUGGGGGUUCCCCAGCCCCAGCGUGGGGGGGCCUGGGAGACGCCCUGCAGCGAUGGUCCUCCAUUUGCCAGAUGCGGAUGGCAGAGCACAGCGUCCCUGCCGGUGCCCAGAGAGGUUGAUUCUGCUGCGAGCUGAGUCCCGUGUCCCUUCUCGGCAGGCGUGGAUCACAGACACCCAGAACGUGGUCCCGCUGGCCAAGGCGGGAGGCCUGGAGCCGGAGACCCCCCCGGAGGAGGCCCUGGUCAUCCACCUGCUCAAGACGGAGCCCGAGGCGCCUGCCAGCCCAGGACCCGCGUGUCUGCAGACGGGGGAGGAAGAGGCCCCGGGGGGGUCCUCCCAGCUCCCUCCCCAGGCCCCCCAAGGUGGAGACAGGGUGUUUCUGGGAGACUUCGCCUUUGUGAUGAGUGACAACUCCUACAUGAUGCUGUGAGGUGGCCCCUCCAAGGCCACCAUCGGGAUCCACGCUGAUGUCCAAGGACACGAGAAAUUUCAGGACUUCACGGGAGCCCCCUGGGCCACGGGGGGCUCCAAUCUGGGGUCCCUGAGGACCACCACUCACGACGACCGAAGGGAGAGCAUAUCCACUUCCCCCGUGUCCCCCCCAAAUCCUCCCCUAUCAACUUUCCCCUCCACACAUUGUGCCUUAGACCUUUUCUCAUGCAACCCGGGCAGGGAGACGAAUCCCAUUUUUAAAAAGGCAACAGGCCACCCGCGCGUUAGGGGUGCAGCCUGGACUCCCCUAUUUGAUGGCUGACCUCCUCCCCAGGGGCCAGGUCUGGGCCACAUUGGCGACCUGCGUUGGGGAAAAUGCAUAUUAAUUGCUUUAAUUAAUUAAACGCAUAUGAAUCGCUUCCCUGGGGGCCCCUUGUGAACGGCGGUGAC